AUGUCAACACUUCCUGCUUCAAAUCCUGGCUGCUUAUUUGAUCCGAUGAAACUCUUCUUUGCCUGCGUCUGCUCUAACCCCAGAGAUCUGCAAUCAUAUCAAAUGGAUUCAUGUGUGGCUCUCUUGCCGCUGUGCCUAAGCCUGACAUUUUGGGCCACAUGCACUGGAGAUGCAGGACAGGCUUCUAAACCACACUACACCUGUUGGUCUGGAUUGCAGCUGGAAUUGGAAGGGAAAUGCAUUUCCAUUGAAGGAAGAAGUAUGAGAGUGAGCAGGCAGGUGUCAGCAGAGCUCAAGAGAAUAACGUCAAGUGGACGAUGACUUACAGGCAGGAGGAGGCAGAUCAGCUAGGCAGAUGUGCAGAAGUUAAGUGUGGUUUCAUGCAGAAACUUCCAAGUGGAUUCAAGAGCCAAAGACUUCAAGAAGUUGGUGUAAUUGUCACUUGGAAUAUGUUUGUAUUAAUUCAGGUAGAAUAUAUUAAUAAACAAUAUUCUUAUCAAGAAUCUUCCAUUUACAGCCCUUAUUUUUGCCCUUUCUUUUCUGCCUGGCUGUUUAACUCCUGGAUGUCUGAUUUAACUACAUCUGCAGCUUCUCACUGAUAUGUUUACGGGGAUCAGAUGCCUAUAUUCUGAUUGCUUUUCCUGUCUCUGGGAAUUAGAUGUAAUCCAUGUACACAUUUGCUCUGAGUUAGAUCUUAGAAAGCAAUGGACC
rnacentral:lncRNA from 1 species